rnacentral:rRNA from 1 species
GACGAACGCUGGCGGCGUGCUUAACACAUGCAAGUCGGGGGGCGUCUUCGGGCGCCACCGGCGAACGGGUGCGGAACACGUGAGCGACCUGCCCCGGUGUGGGGGAUAGCCGGCCCAACGGCCGGGUAAGACCGCAUACGCCCCCGGCUUCGGUGCCGGGGGGAAACGGGAGGCACUGGGAGGGGCUCGCGGCCUAUCAGCUAGUUGGGGGGGUGACGGCCUCCCAAGGCGAUGACGGGUAGCUGGUCUGAGAGGAUGGCCAGCCACAUUGGGACUG